UAUCUUUAAUAACAAAAAAGUUAUGCAAAAUUUUCGAUCUAAAAAAGUACAUGUUAAUUGUAAAAAACCGAAAUUUCGAUUUUUCUCAAAAACUAUAAUUUUUUAAAUUUUGAUAAUUAUGUGCAAGGUGCCCCUUCACUAGGAGUACUUGACUGUUUUUAAAUGAAAGCUCUAUCUUUAAUAACAAAAAAGUUAUGCAAAAUUUUCGAUCUAAAAAAGUACAUGUUAAUUGUAAAAAACCGAAAUUUCGAUUUUUCUCAAAAACUAUAAUUUUUUCAAUUUUGAUAAUUAUGUGCAAGGUGCCCCUUCACUAGGAGUACUUGACUGUUUUUAAAUGAAAGCUCUAUCUUUAAUAACAAAAAAGUUAUGCAAAAUUUUCGAUCUAAAAAAGUACAUGUUAAUUGUAAAAAACCGAAAUUUCGAUUUUUCUCAAAAACUAUAAUUUUUUCAAUUUUGAUAAUUAUGUGCAAGGUGCCCCUUCACUAGGAGUACUUGACUGUUUUUAAAUGAAAGCUCUAUCUUUAAUAACAAAAAAGUUAUGCAAAAUUUUCGAUCUAAAAAAGUACAUGUUAAUUGUAAAAAACCGAAAUUUCGAUUUUUCUCAAAAACUAUAAUUUUUUCAAUUUUGAUAAUUAUGUGCAAGGUGCCCCUUCACUAGGAGUACUUGACUGUUUUUAAAUGAAAGCUCUAUCUUUAAUAACAAAAAAGUUAUGCAAAAUUUUCGAUCUAAAAAAGUACAUGUUAAUUGUAAAAAACCGAAAUUUCGAUUUUUCUCAAAAACUAUAAUUUUUUCAAUUUUGAUAAUUAUGUGCAAGGUGCCCCUUCACUAGGAGUACUUGAC
rnacentral:lncRNA from 1 species